rnacentral:rRNA from 1 species
GAUGAACGCUGGCGGCGUGCCUAAUUCAUGCAAGUCGAGCGAACGGACGAGAAGCUUGCUUUUCUGAUGUUAGCGGCGGACGGGUGAGUAACACGUGGAUAACCUACCUAUAAGACUGGGAUAACUUCGGGAAACCGGAGCUAAUAUCGGAUAAUAUUUUGAACCGCAUGGUUCAAAAGUGAAAGACGGUCUUGCUGUCACUUAUAGAUGGAUCCGCGCUGCAUUAGCUAGUUGGUAAGGUAACGGCUUACCAAGGCAACGAUGCAUAGCCGACCUGAGAGGGUGAUCGGCCACACUGGAACUGAGACACGGUCCAGACUCCUACGGGAGGCAGCAGUAGGGAAUCUUCCGCAAUGGGCGAAAGCCUGACGGAGCAACGCCGCGUGAGUGAUGAAGGUCUUCGGAUCGUAAAACUCUGUUAUUAGGGAAGAACAUAUGUGUAAGUAACUGUGCACAUCUUGACGGUACCUAAUCAGAAAGCCACGGCUAACUACGUG